CCUACGGGAGGCUGCAGUGGGGAAUAUUGGACAAUGGGCGAAAGCCUGAUCCAGCCAUGCCGCGUGUGUGAAGAAGGCCUUCGGGUUGUAAAGCACUUUCAGUGGGGAAGAAAGCCUUGGGGCUAAUACCCUCGAGGAAGGACAUCACCCACAGAAGAAGCACCGGCUAACUCCGUGCCAGCAGCCGCGGUAAUACGGAGGGUGCGAGCGUUAAUCGGAAUUACUGGGCGUAAAGCGCGCGUAGGCGGUCUGAUAAGCCGGUUGUGAAAGCCCCGGGCUCAACCUGGGUACGGCAUCCGGAACUGUCAGGCUAGAGUGCAGGAGAGGAAGGUAGAAUUCCCGGUGUAGCGGUGAAAUGCGUAGAGAUCGGGAGGAAUACCAGUGGCGAAGGCGGCCUUCUGGACUGACACUGACGCUGAGGUGCGAAAGCGUGGGUAGCAAACAGGAUUAGAUACCCCAGUAGUC
rnacentral:rRNA from 1 species